rnacentral:rRNA from 1 species
AUGCGCCAUCUUCAUCGGGCACAACAUCUUCCCUGGCUCCUCAUAGGUGAUUUGUACAAGAUUCAGUUUUUGCAUGAGAAAGAGGGCGGAAAUCAUCGCCCACGGCAGUACAUGCAGGCAUUCCAAAAUGCUAUAGAUGACUGUGAACUGAGAGAUCUUGGGUUCCUCGGCGACAAAUUCACCUGGCAGCGAGGACGGAUCCGACAAAGGUUGGACAGAGGACUCGUAAAUAAUGCAUGGGUGAAUCUUUUCCCGAUGGUUGCGUUAGAAAACCUGCCCUACAAUCACUCAGAUCACAGGCCUCUGUUGGUAAAUACAGAACACUUUACUCAACCAAAUCAAGGCAAUGCAAGACCAAAGAGAUUUGAGUCAAGGGGGUUACAGGAGCAAACUUUUAGUGACAAAGUCCAAGAAGCGUGGAACGAAGCAGGUGUCGACCCCGCAGUACACAACAUACAUGCAAAGCUUGAUCGCAUGCAUGAAGCGUUUCAUGAUUGGGAUCAAAAGGUAUUGAAGAAGCCAAAAAAGUGA